rnacentral:rRNA from 1 species
CUACGGAGGGUGCAAGCGUUACUCGGAAUCACUGGGCGUAAAGCGCGCGCAGGCGGCUUGAUAAGUUGGAUGUGAAAGCCUACGGCUCAACCGUAGAACUGCAUCCAAAACUGUCAAGCUAGAGUCUGGGAGGGGAAGAUGGAAUUAGUUGUGUAGGGGUAAAAUCCGUAGAGAUAACUAGGAAUACCAAAAGCGAAGGCGAUCUUCUGGAACAGUACUGGCGCUGAGGCGCGAAAGCGUGGGGAGCAAACAGGAUUAGAAACCCCGGUAGUCC